CUGUGUAUCAAAUCUUUGUUGCUUCCCGCAUGGUGUGGCCUGCAAAGGCUACCCUGUGGGAAGGAUAUGAUAAACUCUUGUUGUUGUGUCAUUAGUCUGGGUGGUAAACACAUGAAACAAGUUAAAACUUUCAACAACGGAUCUCUUGGUUCUCGCAUCGAUGAAGAACGCAGCGAAAUGCGAUAAGUAGUGUGAAUUGCAGAAUUCAGUGAAUCAUCGAAUCUUUGAACGCACAUUGCGCCUUCUGGUAUUCCGGGAGGCAUGCCUGUUCGAGCGUCAUCAAACACAUCCUCAAGCACUUUUGCUUGGUAUUGGUGGCAGAUGUCCGCAUCUCCUCUUAAAUUCCUCAGCGGAAACUACUGCGGUCUCAGGUGUCAUAAGAUUACCUUUCGCUUGAUAACUGCCGGUAGGUUCUUGCUGUGAAGAGCCCCCCAGCUAU
rnacentral:rRNA from 1 species